AGCACCCCCGCGACCCGAGUGAGGAUAGGCGGUACAGAAAAUGGAUUGAUGGUUGUGUGCUUGUUUUCAUGGGCUUGACUGACUCAACAUAGGCUUUUAGCCUGAAGAAACUACUGCUAGUGAAAGCUAUACUCGCGAAGACGUUAGGACUCAUGAGUACGUUCACUGCGUAGUACGUUGUUCCUUGCGCAAACAAAUCACUCAUCGUACCAUGGUGUACAUCGCCCCUUAGCGAAUCACAAACGAAGAUGUUCAACGAACGAAUCACUCGUGUCUAUCGGAUCGCGAAUGAUAAGUUCGACGAACAAAUCACUCUUCAGUUCCUCAGUACACCGGUCCAAUUCAGUUUACUUAAGUCCCAACCUUGAACGAAUAGCUCUUCAGUUCACCAGUUCACUAAACGAAUCACUCAGUUCACUUAAAUCCCUCCCCUGAACGAAUCACUCUUCGGUUCUCCAGCAUAUUAAAAUCACUUAAGUCGCUGCCCCGCCUGCACGGUGCUGCCUGACGCUGGCUGCUCAUUGGUUAUUCACCGAAGUGAGUGACAACGCCGGCGAAUCGCAAAUCACAUGGCUGUACACUUAAAUAAGUCCCGCCCCCGCCUGCAUGCUAGCUGCUCAUUGGUCAUUCACCGAAGAUUCAGAAGUGAGUGACAGAACGCUCAAGCACUUCCGUUUCCGCUCCCAGCCGACUUGCUCGCCUCACGGCAGCGAACGGCAGCCAAGCUAAAAGAACGAAUCAUUUCAUAAACUGAUUCAGUUCAGUUCGUUCACUAAAAAGAUUCGUUCUUCUGAACGAAACGCUCGCGAACAAAACAACACAAGUUGCGGCUUUCCACUUCCGGAUGCAACACUAGAGGCAAGGAGGACGAAAUGACUGUUGCAGUUGUCAAGUCAUCUUUAAGAGUGGGAUUAAUUUGCAUUCAGUCUCAUUAUUUAGAUCGGGGCAGAUGUCUGGGGUCCCUUGUGUGGAAAUGAUGGCCUCAGCAUGUAUUGUCCGAGUGGGGACAGUGACCGGAAGGCCAGCCCAGGGUUGGAGUGGCUGAGACCAGGAGGAAUGGCUGCGGAUAAUGCAUUGGCCACGGCACCAAGAGUCGGCUGCAUUUUGAAAAAAUACAUAUAACAUAUAGUUGUACAUUUCAUCGCUGUUGGGAGGGGACCGUUGCUUCAAUUGGUAUUUUUAUCCAUCCAUCCAUUUUCUGAGCCGCUUCUCCUCACUAGGGUCGCGGGCGUGCUGGAGCCUAUCACAGCUAUCAUCUGGCAGGAGGCAGGGUACACCCUGAACUGGUUGCCAGCCAAUCACAGGGCAUGGUAUUUUAAUACUUUGUGUAAAUUUAAUAAUUGGGUCAGUCCCCAGGGGGGUCUACAAUCAUUGCAUUUUUCAAGAUUUAUUUGCCUUUAAUAGGUGUUUAAUUGGGCAGCACUGGUUAGAGCAUCUGCCUCACAGUUCUGAGGUACGGGGUUCGAUCCUCGGCCCCGCCUGUGUGGAGUUUGCAUGUUCUCCCCGUGUCUGCGUGGGUUUUCUCUGGGCAGUCCGGGUUUCCUCCCACAUUCCCAAAACAUGCAUGGUAGGUUAAUUGACAAUUCUAAAUUGCCCGUAGGUGUGAAUGUGAGUGCAAAUGGUUGUUUGUUUAUAUGUGCCCUGUGAUUGGCUGGCAACCAGUUCAGGGUAUACCCCGCCUC